AGUUUGAUCCUGGCUCAGAUUGAACGCUGGCGGCAUGCCUUACACAUGCAAGUCGAACGGCAGCACGGGAGCAAUCCUGGUGGCGAGUGGCGAACGGGUGAGUAAUAUAUCGGAACGUGCCCAGUCGUGGGGGAUAACGCAGCGAAAGCUGUGCUAAUACCGCAUACGAUCUCUGGAUGAAAGCGGGGGACUCGUAAGAGCCUCGCGCGAUUGGAGCGGCCGAUAUCAGAUUAGCUAGUUGGUGGGGUAAAGGCCCACCAAGGCGACGAUCUGUAGCUGGUCUGAGAGGACGACCAGCCACACUGGAACUGAGACACGGUCCAGACUCCUACGGGAGGCAGCAGUGGGGAAUUUUGGACAAUGGGCGCAAGCCUGAUCCAGCAAUGCCGCGUGCAGGAUGAAGGCCUUCGGGUUGUAAACUGCUUUUGUACGGAACGAAAAGGUCUGCCUUAAUACGGUGGGCCCAUGACGGUACCGUAAGAAUAAGCACCGGCUAACUACGUGCCAGCAGCCGCGGUAAUACGUAGGGUGCGAGCGUUGAUCGGAAUUACUGGGCGUAAAGCGUGCGCAGGCGGUUAUAU
rnacentral:rRNA from 1 species